ensembl:lncRNA
CGCUCGGGGUAAACAAGGUGAAGCGGCUUGGGGCUGUUCAGCAGUCGGAUUCUGCCUCUCGGGGGGUUGCCCUUGCGGUUGGGGGUGAGGUGUUAACUAAUUAAUUGUAAUUAAUAAUAACUUCCAAACUCGAGAUGGAAUCAACCUUCCUAAAAGAAGAGUGCGGCCGUUGUAUGCGGAUGCCGGCAUCUGCUUUUGCGUAUAUGGACACUGUGUGGACAGGAGCCAACCCUUCCCCCCAGGCUGACAGCAGUCUUUCUUCCAUUGAUGUCAAUGAGCUUAGAUCAGAGCACAAGUCUUGUGAGUGAUCAAAGACAGUUCUACAUAAAAAAAGACUUCGUUUUCCAGGACAGAGAAGGAGCUCUGAAGAGAGAUCUCAGUCUUCUUAUUGGCCUUUUGGAGCUUCAGAGAUAGACUUGACUCCUUCUCUUCUCUUGAAGAAAGUUGAAGUGUGUUACUGAGUUCACAGGGAACAAUUUGCAGGAAGUUUGGUUCCAGAUCUCCUAUCAGAAAUACAGUUCUUCCACUGCACCGUUGCACACAGGAUCAGCUUGCAAACAGCUUGGAG